rfam:Myotis brandtii contig253270, whole genome shotgun sequence.
GGCGGUUCUCUGGUGACACACCCCAGAAUUGGGCUCCCUCCUCUCUGGUUCCGGGUGUGUCACCUGAGAACCACA